AUUGAACGCUGGCGGCAUGCCUUACACAUGCAAGUCGAACGGCAGCGCGGGGCAACCUGGCGGCGAGUGGCGAACGGGUGAGUAAUAUAUCGGAACAUACCCUAGAGUGGGGGAUAACGUAGCGAAAGUUACGCUAAUACCGCAUACGCACUAAGGUGGAAAGUGGGGGAUCUUCGGACCUCAUGCUCAUGGAGUGGCCGAUAUCUGAUUAGCUAGUUGGUGAGGUAAAGGCUCACCAAGGCGACGAUCAGUAGCUGGUUUGAGAGAACGACCAGCCACACUGGAACUGAGACACGGUCCAGACUCCUACGGAGGCAGCAGUGGGGAAUUUUGGACAAUGGGGGCAACCCUGAUCCAGCAAUGCCGCGUGAGUGAA
rnacentral:rRNA from 1 species